UACGGAGGGUGCGAGCGUUGUCCGGAAUCACUGGGCGUAAAGGGCGCGUAGGUGGCCCGUUAAGUGGCUGGUGAAAUCCCUCGGCUCAACCGGGGAACUGCGUCUGAGACUGGAAGGCUUGAAUUCGGGAGAGGGAUGUGGAAUUCCAGGUGUAGCGGUGAAAUGCGUAGAUAUCUGGAGGAACACCGGUGGCGAAGGCGGCAUCCUGGACCGAUAUUGACGCUGAGGCGCGAAAGCGUGGGGAGCGAACAGG
rnacentral:rRNA from 1 species